GGGCCGUUAGCUCAGCUGGUAGAGCACCGGACUUUUAAUCCGAUGGUCGCUGGUUCGAAUCCAGCACGGCUCA
rnacentral:tRNA from 2 species